UGAGACUCCAGCUCUGUUCC
rnacentral:piRNA from 1 species